UGACCUUGAGACUAUAAAAAUAAAAACACAUCACAAAAUCAAUUUGCAAACACCUAAGAGAGCAAGGAAUGAGGUAGACUUCAUAAAGGACAUGCCUGAUCAGACUAAUAUAUCCAUUUAUCCUCAAGUAAGAAUAACACCAGUUAACAUGUAUAAUCUAUUUAUAUUUCAGUGUGACUUUUGUUCCCCAAGAUAUACACAAUAACUGCAUCUAAAUAUGGCUCUUUGUCCUAAGGGGAUAGGCCUAGUGAUAUGGAGGGCACCCUUUAAGAUGUAGUGAUGGAAAUCUAUACCACUAGGGUAGAGUUGCAACUGAAUUAGCCUCUAGGGGCAAAGAGAACACAAGAUGUUAUUCAGUGUUUAGCACAAUGUGGAACUCUAACACUAUGUUGUCACCCUGUUCCUCUACUCUUCCCUGUUUUCCCCCUUUCUUUAAAAGCAGCUCCCUCCUUUUAGUACCAAAACUUUUGCUUAAUUCUUUGGCCUUGUGAUAUGGUUUUAUUUUUGUUGUUGUUGUUUCCAGAACCAUCAUGAUUCAUGCCAUCUUGGGAAAUUCGGCUGAUUUUCAAGUUUCCAGUGAAAACACAAAAGCUGAUUCACAGAACCAUAGAAUGUUAGAGCUGAAGAAUUUCUUAUCUAUUGUAAGUGGAUCAGAAUAUAAUAAAACAAGCAUCAUGAAGCACCUACUAUGUGCAAAGCCUGUAGAAGCCAUCAAAUUGUAAGAUUUUGCCUCCUGGUUCAUUUGACACCUGGAAAAUAUUCAAGGAAACCACAGCAGGGUAAGAAUCUUAUAUCUAUUUAGGGAACUAUAGGUAACAUUUUUAGAAGAAGCAUUCACUUAUUUCUUGAGCAUUAUGUAAUAGGUGGGGCAGGUUGGCAGGUCUAAGCCUCAUUCUUCUUUAUUCAAGAAGUUUAGAUAAAUAUUUUGUUAAAGAAAUUUUCUUAAUUACUGUUUCAAUAAGACCAGCAAUUUGAUGUACAUUUCCUGGACCAUCCUUUGAGUUUUUGCUUUUGGAUAUAUAAAGGUCCAGUGAGAUAAUUAAUAUUUUAUAUGUUUGUGGUUAACAGUUUUACUCUUUCUCUCUUAGUUCAUAGCUUAGAUAAAUUGAAUAUGAUGAUGAAGAUUCUAGCAGAAGCAUUUUACAUCCAAGAUACCAUUAGGUUAUUUUCCAACUUAAAUACUUUUGCAGAUAUUUGCCCG
rnacentral:lncRNA from 1 species